UUGCUGUGAUGAUUAUAUUAAAAUUUAUGAAAAUUUUGUGAAUCAUCGGCAACUAUGUCGGUCGAGCGGUUACCUGAGCAA
rfam:Gossypium raimondii chromosome 11, whole genome shotgun sequence.